rnacentral:rRNA from 1 species
UACGGGAGGCAGCAGUGGGGAAUAUUGGACAAUGGGCGAAAGCCUGAUCCAACCAUGCCGCGUGUGUGAAGAAGGCUUUCGGGUUGUAAAGCACUUUCAGUGAGGAAGAAUGCCUUGGGCUUAAUACGUCCGAGGAAAGACAUCACUCACAGAAGAAGCACCGGCUAACUCCGUGCCAGCAGCCGCGGUAAUACGGAGGGUGCGAGCGUUAAUCGGAAUUACUGGGCGUAAAGCGCGCGUAGGUGGCUUGAUAAGCCGGUUGUGAAAGCCCCGGGCUCAACCUGGGAACGGCAUCCGGAACUGUCAGGCUAGAGUGCAGGAGAGGAAGGUAGAAUUCCCGGUGUAGCGGUGAAAUGCGUAGAGAUCGGGAGGAAUACCAGUGGCGAAGGCGGCCUUCUGGACUGACACUGACAAUGAGGUGCGAAAGCCUGGGGGGCGCACCGGAUUAGAUAACAUGGU